UCCGGUUUGUCACCGGCAGUCUCCUUAGAGUGCCCACCAUAACGUGCUGGUAACUAAGGACAAGGGUUGCGCUCGUUACGGGACUUAACCCAACAUCUCACGACACGAGCUGACGACAGCCAUGCAGCACCUGUCUCAAUGUUCCCGAAGGCACCAAUCCAUCUCUGGAAAGUUCAUUGGAUGUCAAGGCCUGGUAAGGUUCUUCGCGUUGCUUCGAAUUAAUCCACAUAAUCCACCGCUUGUGCGGGUCCCCGUCAAUUCCUUUGAGUUUUAGUCUUGCGACCGUACUCCCCAGGCGGAGUGCUUAAUGCGUUAGCUGCGGCACAGAGCGGGUUGAAGACCGCCCCACACCUAGCACCCAUCGUUUACGGCGUGGACUAC
rnacentral:misc_RNA from 1 species